rnacentral:rRNA from 1 species
CCUACGGGGCGCAGCAGUGGGGGAUAUUGCACAAUGGGGGAAACCCUGAUGCAGCGACGCCGCGUGUGGGAAGACGGUCCUCUGGAUUGUAAACCACUGUCCCCAGGGACGAAGAUGACGGUACCUGGGGAGGAAGCUCCGGCUAACUACGUGCCAGCAGCCGCGGUAAUACGUAGGGAGCGAGCGUUGUCCGGAAUUACUGGGUGUAAAGGGAGCGUAGGCGGGACUGCAAGUUGGGUGUCGAAUCUACCGGCUCAACCGGUAGCCGCACUCAAAACUGCAGUUCUUGAGUGAAGGAGAGGUAAGUGGAAUUCCUAGUGUAGCGGUGAAAUGCGUAGAUAUUAGGAGGAACACCAGUGGCGAAGGCGGCUUACUGGACUGUAACUGACGUUGAGGCUCGAAAGCGUGGGGAGCAAACAGGAUUAGAUACCCUUGUAGUC